UACAGAGGUCCCAAGCGUUGUUCGGAUUCACUGGGCGUAAAGGGUGCGUAGGUGGUCAGGUAAGUCUGAUGUGAAAGCUCUGGGCUCAACCCAGAAAUGGCAUUGGAUACUAUCUGGCUAGAGGAAUGGAGGGGGGGACUGGAAUACUUGGUGUAGCAGUGAAAUGCGCAGAUAUCAGGAGGAACACCGGUGGCGAAGGCGGGUCUCUGGGCAGUAACUGACGCUGGAGGAGCGAAAGCGUGGGGAGCGAACAGG
rnacentral:rRNA from 1 species